rnacentral:rRNA from 1 species
GUUCAGAGAGGGGUCAAUGUCCUAUCAGCUAGUUGGGAGGGUAAUGGCCUACCAAGGCGAAGACGGGUAGCCGGCCUGAGAGGGUGGUCGGCCACAUUGGGACUGAGACACUGCCCAGACUCCUACGGGAGGCUGCAGUCGAGUAUCUUUCGCAAUGCCCGAAAGGGUGACGAAGCGACGCCGCGUGUGGGAAGAAGGCCUUCGGGUUGUAAACCACUGUCAGGAGUUAAGAAAUGUAAGGGUGCUAAUAGUAUCCUUACUUGACUAAGGCUCCAGAGGAAGCCACGGCUAACUCUGUGCCAGCAGCCGCGGUAAUACAGAGGUGGCAAGCGUUGUUCGGAAUUAUUGGGCGUAAAGAGCACGUAGGCGGUUCUGCAAGUCGGCUGUGAAAGCCUUCCGCUCAACGGAAGAACAGCAGUUGAUACUACAGGACUAGAGUGCGGGAGGG